CCUCCUGAAUCAAUAUCCACAAGGUUAUAAUCCACAGUAAGAGCAUUAGCAUGGUCCUUGGCAAACACACACCAUCAGUUCCGCCAUUCUCACCUGGCUUUCAUUUCCACGUCCCGCUUUCUCUCACCUAGUCACCUGUUCUUUUUAUUGCUUCCUAAGACCACACCCUUCUCUUCAUCUCUUUUUUUACUUCCGUUAAUUAAAACACCACGGAAUGGAACGGACUCCGCUUCUGUGUCAAUAAAUGGUAAAAUGGUAAAUGGCGCACUUAUAUAGCACUUUACAGUGUGUCUCAUUCACCCAUUCACACACCAAUGGUAGCAGAGCUGCCAUGCAAGGCGCUAACUUGCCAUCGGGAGCAACUUGGGGUUCAGUGUCUUGCCCAAGGACACUUCAGCAUGUGGAGUCCUGCUGGCCGGGAAUCAAACAGCCAACCCUACGAUUAGUGGACAACCCGCUCUACCACCUGAUCCACAGCCGCCCCUGUCACUGUGCAGCUAUCUGUUACAAAUGAAUGGGAAAAUAUCCUUGGCAUCCAUGCAAUUCAAGGAUGUUGUAAUUGGUAAGUUGUGAUGUCAAAAGUAUCUGUACCAAGUUGAUACUAAAAUUUUAAAAAGAAUGAUACGAUAAGUUUUUUUUUCAGUAUCGGCUGUACCAAGUAUUCUUCUGCUUUCUGAUUGACUUUCUUUUGUAAGUAUUAAUUAACCGUGAUUUCCACUCAGCCAUCUUACUGGAAUUUGUGUAGGUUAGGAAUAAGACUGAGGAUGGAGUUGUACAGUUUUGUAGUGUGUAUCGUUUGUAAAUAUUGUUAACUUCUUUACCAUAGCCAUGCUGAGGGAGGCGUUGACUAAAUUAGAGAUGGUGCUGGACCAACAAACCACUGAGAUUGCUUCAACUACAGGUGUUCCAAGUGCAGUCUUUGGAUAUUUAUGAAGAUUUACUGCCCUGCAAGAUCUUCCUCAACUGCGUAGUCUGGAGCGAAGGAUGCAACAGAGCCCAGAUUACAAGCAAAAACUGGGCGGAUGUGCUCGACUGCACCUGGCGCAUACUGAAGAGGGUGAUUGCUAACUCCCUGGCAAAGAACCUCAGUUGGAGGGGAGUCGAUGGAAAGACUUCACUGGCCACUCUCAAACUUGGAGAGGUCAUGAUUGAAACCUCUUCACGGCUAAAGCUGCAGAGAUGGAGGUUGAGGGGACCAUGAAGAGGUGGCUCCAGCUGGCAUCAGAUCGAGAGUGCGGGCGCAAGAGAAGACUUUUGAAAACUUUUGCAAAAAGAAGGUAUUUAGAGUGUUUUAACUGUGGACUCUUUGUUAAUUUGUUAAAAUGUACAUAUUGUAGUCUAUUUUUGAUUGUUUAUAAAAGUCCUUGCUGUUUUUAAAUGGUUGAAUUUGUGUGUGUGUGUGUGUGUGUGUGUGUGUGUGUGUGUGUGUGUGUUGGUAGCUGGGUGGGUAUACAGUUGCGGUCGGAAGUUUACAUACCACUUGCAGUAUCUACAAAAUCUUAAUACUCUUUACAAAAUAAGAUUGAUCAUAAAAAUCCUAAGUUUCUAAUUUAGUACCGCCAUGAAUAAGCUAUUUCACAUAAUUCAAUUCAAUUCAAUUUUAUUUGUAUAGCGCUUUUUACAAUAGACAUUGUCUCAAAGCAGCUUUACAGAAAUAUCAACAUGGUAUACAGAUAUUAAAGGUGCGAAUUUAUCCCAACUGAGCAAGCCACUGAGUGGCGACGGUGGCAAGGAAAAACUCCCUAAGAUGUUUUAAGAGGAAGAAACCUUGAGAGGAACCCGACUC